GCUCUGAAAUGCAAUGGAUAGCACUUUGGACUUCUAAUCCAAAGGUUGUGGGUUCGAAUUCCACCUAGAUGGCA
rnacentral:tRNA from 1 species